rnacentral:rRNA from 1 species
GAUGAACGCUGGCGGCGUGCCUAAUACAUGCAAGUCGAGCGGACGGACGAUACUCUUGCUUCUCUGUUGUUAGCGGCGGACGGGUGAGUAACACGUGGAUACCCUCCCUAUAAGACUGGGAUAAUUUCGGGAAACCGGAGCUAAUACCGGAUAAUAUUUUGAUCCGCAUGGUUCAAAAGUGAAAGACGGUCUUGCUGUCUCUUAUAGAUGGAUCCGCGCUGCAUUAGCUAGUUGGUAAGGUAACGGCUUACCAAGGCAACGAUGCGUAGCCGACCUGAGAGGGUGAUCGGCCACACUAGAACUGAGACACGGUCCAGACUACUAAGGGAGGGAGCAGAAGGGAAUCGUCCGCAAUGGGCGAAAGCAUGACGGAGUGACGCCGCGUGAGUGAUGAAGGUCUUCGGAUCGUAAAACUCUGUUAUUAGGGAAGAACAUAUGUGUAAGUACCUGUGCACAUCGUGACGGUACCUAAUCAGAAAGCCACGGCUAACUACGUG